UUUAUUUCAAGUUUUAACCAAAAAAUUUGUGUCCCUUUUUUACUCGCUUUUUUAGUUAAGUAGACAUAAUACAAUCAUAAAAGGUGUUUUAUUGACGGUAGACAUGUUUGCACUUAGUUCGGAAAAGGUAUCCGGCUCGGAACCGAAUUACGUGAUCAACUUCGAAGAGGCCGGUUUAAUAUCCGUCAUCCACUUCUCGCCAUACGAAUCCUCUCAAGAUCUUCUAUUAAUUGCGUUCCCUACAAAAAUAUUGGUCACGCAAUUAAUUAUUCAGGACAAUGUCAGCUUGAAGGAGCUGGCACAGUUACAUAACGGUGUCACCUGCACCGCUUUGGCCCUAUCAUCGGAAACUAGCAUAAGCACGCUUCCUUGCAAUGUUGUAUUUUGUGUGGCGGGCGACGACUAUAAAAUUAGAGUGUUCAAAAGCGAUUUGGCGCUCGAUUCCAGUACAAAAAUAUUGAGCGGCCACUCUGACUAUAUUAAUGAUAUCAGUUACGAUCCUGAGGGUAAUUACUUAGCUUCAGUGAGUGACGAUAACACAGUGAAGGUGUGGAAUACGGAUAAUUACAAGUGUGAAGCCACAUUAUUUUUAACUUCACCAGGCACAGCCGUCUGUUGGCAUCGUGAGGAUGCGUCCAAGUUAAUGGUGGCCGAAAAGAUAGGAUUGAUCCGAUUUUAUAAUGUUAACACUCAGAAGCCCAUACUAUCGUUGGAAUUUGGCAAGCCACUAAGUGCCGCACAUUGGUCGCCUUCAGAUUCCCAAGUUAUCUGCUCGCUGCACCUUGGAGAGUUAGUGGUAUGGGAUUUAAGUCAUCCAAGUCUGCCGACAAAUUCGAAGCUGCUACAUACCGCGGAUGGGGGAUAUUUAAAAAUUAACGCAACAGGCGAGUUGGUGGCAUUUGUAAAUCGACUGGAGGGAUAUGUAAAAGUCGCUAUGGUCAAUUCGCAACAGCAACGUCUGUGUGCGUCUCUCGAUUUGCCCACCAGUCUUACCUGGCAUUUCCGACUUCCUUUACUCUGCGUGGCUAACGAUAAUAAAUUAUGUUUUUGGAAAGUUUCUAAUAAAUAAACAUUUCUGAUAUUUUUUGCUACAGCAAAGCAGCCUUAACUCGGUGAGAUGGCAGGACCAGACGUAGCGGGGCUUGCGGCGGACUUGGCUCGGGCCGUAGAACUCACGAUGAGUGCAAGUGCGUCGCAAGCUGAUCGUUUAAAAGCUUACAAUGCCUGCGAGAGCUUUAAGGAGACUUCACCGCUCUGCGCAGAGGCGGGCUUGUUUUUGGCGGCCGACACGAGACACUCACUCGUCGUUAGACACUUCGGCUUGCAGCUUAUGGAACACACCGUGAAGUACCGCUGGAACCACAUCUCGCAGCAGGAGAAGCUUUUUAUAAAGGAGAACGCAAUGAAGCUACUGGCAGCUGGCGGUAUAAGCGACGAACCGCACAUGAAAGACGCACUAAGCCGCGUCGUCGUGGAAAUGGUUAAAAGGGAAUGGCCCCAACAGUGGCCCGGACUGUUGGCCGAACUGUCUGAUGCGUGUGCCUGUGGAGAGACUCAGACUGAACUUGUACUGUUAGUGUUCCUUCGUCUCGUGGAAGACGUCGCUCUUUUACAGACGCUCGAAUCGAAUCAACGACGAAAAGACAUUUAUCAAGCAUUAACAACAAACAUGGCCGUAAUUUUCGAAUUUUUCUUAAGACUUAUCGAACUCCACGUUAAUCAAUUUAGAUUAUGCAGCGAAUCGGGCAAUGGAAUUAAGGCGAACUCGCACUGUAGAGUUGUACAAAUUGUUCUCUUAACUCUUACAGGUUUUGUCGAAUGGGUUUCUAUGUCGCACAUUAUGGCACACGACGGUCGCCUGUUGCAAAUUUUGUGCUUGUUGCUUAAUGAUAUGGCAUUCCAGUGUCCUGCAGCCGAGUGUUUAUUAC